rnacentral:snRNA from 1 species
CUUGCCUAAAAUUGGAACAAUACAGAGAAGAUUAGCAUGGCCUCUGCACAAGGGUGACACACAAAUUUGUGAAGUGUUCCAUAGGUUU